UACGAAGGGGGCAAGCGUUGUUCGGAAUUACUGGGCGUAAAGGGCGCGUAGGCGGCUUACCAAGUCAGGCGUGAAAUUCCCGGGCUCAACCUGGGGGCUGCGCUUGAUACUGGUGAGCUUGAAUCCGGGAGAGGGAUGUGGAAUUCCAGGUGUAGCGGUGAAAUGCGUGGAUAUCUGGAGGAACAUCGGUGGCGAAGGCGGCAUCCUGGACCGGUAUUGACGCUGAGGCGCGAAAGCCAGGGGAGCAAACGGG
rnacentral:rRNA from 1 species